UCCUGUAUAAUGUAUACUAAUACUUGAGUAGAAUACUUCGACAUGUCACUCGCUCUUUUUUCCCUUCUUUCUCCUUUUACUUUUUUAUUUGAUAACAAUAAUGAUGUAAUUUUUUUCGUCUUGUAUCGUCCAAUAAUGAAAAUCCCUCUUUCAAUCGACCGUUGUUGAAGAUUUGCUGUGGUAUCUUACCACGUACGCAAGAACAAAGGGAGACUAGUCAAUCCGGUUAAUCAACUUUUCAUUGAUCAAUAUUCGUAAGAGAACAUAAUUCAGAGAGUCCUAAAAUACGCUAUUACAUAUAAACUGCCUUUCAUUCUAUCUUUUGAAAUGUGAUCUCAGGUCCUUGGAC
rnacentral:lncRNA from 1 species